rnacentral:rRNA from 1 species
AUUGAACGCUGGCGGCAGGCCUAACACAUGCAAGUCGAGCGGAGCUGCUUACGGGUGCGUGAUACCUAGGCAUCUGCCUGGUAUUUGGGGAUACCUUCCGGAAACUCGCGCUAAUACCGCAUAAUAUCAGAUUAUACUAGUUCGGAUUAGCUAGUUGGUGGGGUAAAGGCAUACCAAGGCGACGCUCCGUAUCUGGUCUGAGAGGAUGAUCAGUCACAAUGGAAAGGAGACAAGGUCCAGACUGCUACGGGAGGGAGCAGGGGGGAAUAGUGGACAAUGGGCGAAAGCCUGAUCCAGCCAUGCCGCGUGUGUGAAGAAGGUCUUCGGAUUGUAAAGCACGGUAAGUUGGGAGGCGUUACCAACAGAAGAAGCAACGGCUAACUUCGUGCCAGCAGCCGGGGGAAUAC